CAGGUUUCGCCGUGCGCCGCAGGCGGCUCUAGGCGCUCCCGCGCCGGGCGCCGGCCUCUCCCAGACCCGCACAAGGCCGAUGUCCGCUCGCCGCGCACCCCCAUAGCCCACCACCCCGCCUACGCGUGCCUGUGCGUGGGACCCACCACUCCGCCUACGCGCGCUUGCGCGUGGAGCUGCUGCUGCUGGCGUCCGCGAGAAGCUGAGCCGCGGCCGUUCUAGCUGCCCUAGUUCUCGGAGGAGUGGCGGGAGCAGCUUUCGUCCACCAGUUCUCUUUUGCACCGCCGCGCCACCGGCCUCUACUUCUUCGAGCAGAACGAAGCGCCGAUUGAUGAUCCUACGUAUCAUUACUUAGACUGAUCUCUACAAUCUCCUAUUCACCGACUAUACUAACUAUGUUGUCCUUGAUAACGGUUUCCUCGAUUCGACGACGACGUAGUUCCUCGUUCUCUUCAAAUACGUACGACAAAAACCGGUAGCUCUCUAAUAUUUAACCCAACAAAGUUCUUCAUUAGUACUGCUUUAGUGCUUGUGAUAGGGCAGUUUCUGCGUAACUUCUGAAACGACUCGCUCCACUACCACUGAACUUCGUUAAAACAGACACCUAAUACUAUAGUAUCCACCUAACUCAAUCCACUAACCACAACUCCCCUAUGAGUUUCUACAAGUCUCCUAAUACUCUAAAACCCAGAUGAUACUCGUACCGAUGAUAAUAUAACCACCUAUUUAUCUAGAAGUCAGUUAGAACGCUGUUAAACCUAAAUCAAUCCACUAAUACUAGAACUUGGUUUUAAGUGCCACGUACUAUUUUAAAAUCCACCUAAAUCAAUCUACUAACACUAGAACUCCUCUAUCAUUUUUUACAAGCCACUUAAUACUCUAAAAUCCAGAUUAAACUCGUACCAAUGAUGAUUAUAACCACCUAUUUGUCUAGAAGUUAGUUAGAACGUUGUUAUACCUAAAUCAAUCCACUAAUACUAGAACUUGGUUUUAAGUGCCACCCAAUAUUUUAAAAUCCACCUAAAUCAAUCCACUAACACUAGAACUCCUCUAUCAGUUUUUCAAGCCACCUGAUACUCUAAA
rnacentral:rRNA from 1 species